rnacentral:tRNA from 1 species
GACCGCAUAGUUCAAUUGGUAGAAUCAAUGGUUGAGAGUUCGAGUCUCUCUGCGGUCGCCA